UACGUAGGGUGCGAGCGUUGUCCGGAAUUAUUGGGCGUAAAGAGCUCGUAGGCGGUUUGUUGCGUCUAUCGUGAAAACCUGCGGCUUAACUGUGGGCUUGCGGUGGAUACGGGCAGACUUGAGUUCGGUAGGGGAGACUGGAAUUCCUGGUGUAGCGGUGAAAUGCGCAGAUAUCGGGAGGAACACCGGUGGCGAAGGCGGUUCUCUGGGCCUUACCUGACGCUGAGGAGCGAAAGCGUGGGGAGCGAACAGG
rnacentral:rRNA from 1 species